CACGGAUCCAGAGUUUGAUCAUGGCUCAGGACGAACGCUGGCGGCGUGCUUAACACAUGCAAGUCGAACGGGGAUAACGGAGAGGAGAGCUUCGGCAGGAAUCACCGUUAUUCGAGUGGCGGACGGGUGAGUAACGCGUGAACAAUCUGUCCCAGACAGGGGGAUAACACUUGGAAACAGGUGCUAAUACCGCAUGAKACCACAGCAUCGCAUGGUGCAGGGGUAAAAGGAGCGAUCCGGUUUGGGGUGAGUUCGCGUCCGAUUAGCCAGUUGGCGGGGUAACGGCCCACCAAAGCGACGAUCGGUAGCCGAUCUGAGAGGAUGACCGGCCACAUUGGAACUGAGAGACGGUCCAAACUCCUACGGGAGGCAGCAGUGGGGAAUAUUGGGCAAUGGGCGAAAGCUGACCCAGCAACGCCGCGUGAGUUAAGAAGGCUUUCGGGUUGUAAAGCUCUGUUAUAGGGGACGAAGGAAGUGACGGUACCCUAUAAGGUAGCCCCGGCUAACUACGUGCCAGCAGCCGCGGUAAUACGUAGGGGGCGAGCGUUGUCCGGAAUGACUGGGCGUAAAGGGCGUGUAGGCGGCCCAUUAAGUCUGGAGUGAAAGUCCUGCAUUCAAUGUUGGAACUGCUUUGGAUACUGGUUGGCUUGAGUGCGGAAGAGGUAAGUGGAAUUCCCAGUGUAGCGGUGAAAUGCGUAGAGAUUGGGAGGAACACCAGUGGCGAAGGCGACUUACUGGGCCGUAACUGACGCUGAGGCGCGAAAGUGGGGGAGCGAACAGGAUUAGAUACCCUGGUAGUCCACGCGGUAAACGAUGAAUGCCAGGUGUUGCGGGUAUCGACCCCUGCAGUGCCGGAGUAAACACAAUAAGCAUUCCGCCUGGGGAUACGGCCGCAAGUUGAAACUCAAGGAAUUGACGGGGGCCG
rnacentral:rRNA from 1 species